GAAUAUUGGACAAUGGGGGGAACCCUGAUCCAGCCAUGCCGCGUGUGUGAAGAAGGCCUUUUGGUUGUAAAGCACUUUAAGCGAGGAGGAGGCUACUUAGAUUAAUACUCUUGGCUAGUGGACGUUACUCGCAGCAUAAGCACCGGCUAACUCUGGUCCAGCCGCCGCUGUAAUCACGAGGGUGCAAGGGUUAAUCGGAUUUACUGGGCGUAAAGCGCGCGUAGGUGGCCAAUUAAGUCAAAUGCGAAAUCCCCGAGCUUAACUUGGGAAUUGCAUUCGAUACUGGUUGGCUAGAGUAUGGGAGAGGAUGGUAGAAUUCCAGGUGUAGCGGAGAAAUGCGUAGAGAUCUGGAGGAAUACCGAUGGCGAAGGCAGCCAUCUGGCCUAAUACUGACACUGAGGUGCGAAAGCAUGGGGAGCAAACA
rnacentral:rRNA from 1 species